GGAAAGGUGCCGAGACAUGAACUUUGGUCUUCUCUGCAAUCCAUCUGGAGCAUUCACUGACAACAUCGACUUUGAAGUUGCACUGACCUGGCCAGCCCUGCCACUUACCAGGUUGGCUCUGUAUGGCUAAGCGUUUUCUCCUAAAAUCCCUUGAAAACUGUGAGAAGACCAUAAGAAGAUCAUAUCUUUAAUUCUAUUUCACAAGUCACACAAUAUUCCAAUCAAAUACAGAUGGUUGAGAAAAGUCAUCCAUCUUCCCUCCCCACCCUCCCACAGCCCCUCAACCACUGCCCUGAAACUUAUAUGCUGUUAUCCGCAGCUCCAUCUGGAGCAUCACAGCUACUGUCAACCCUGACGCUCUUUCUGAAAAAACACCGGAUGGACAUCAGAACUAUUUCUUUAAGGAUGUUACUGAGCCACACAGGAAAACUUGCCUUAUGAUUUUGAAUGCACGGAUCUGAUUUGACUAAACAUGAUAACUAGAGAAUCACCCAAUCUACUCCCAUUUUCAACUCUAAAUCAUCAGAGUGUCUCAAAUCCAAAGCACACACAGACCAGCCUGGCCAACACGGUGAAACUCCACCCCUACUAAAAGUAUAAAAAUUAUCCAGGUGUGGUGGCGGGCGCCUGUAAUCCAAGCUACUUGGGAGUCUGGAGGCAGGAGAAUCCCUUGAACCUGGGAGAUGGAGGUUGCAGUGAGCAGAGAUCACACCACCGCACUCUAGCCUGGGCCACAAAUCAACAACAACAACAACAACAAAAAACAAAGCGCACACAGAGACUGAGGUCCUCUUUGGCAUUGAGAAGAUGGCUAUGCAAGUCCCAACUAGCAAGUGCAAACUUCCCAGCUUCACUUCUGCCAGUGUCCCUUCACCCCUUCUCAACCCCACUGGGAGGCAGGAGGGUGCUUGACAAUAACAGCCUUGGCAUCACUCUGCCAGGGUGUAAUAGGAACUGUUACAAUUCUGAGAUUCUGUAAGUGCUUUGAGAUUUUGGAGUCAGACUGCUUGAACUUGAAUCCUGGCCCUCUCAUCAGAGACUUGACUUAUUUUAGGCUGUGGCUUGCCUUUUCACUUCUUGUGUCCUGUUUAAGAAAUAUCUGCUAUCCCAAGCAUCUGGCAUCUUUCUUGACAUAUGUAGCAGUUGCUUUUUGACAGCUUGCUUCUUCAGUGAAUGAAUAAAUUAAUAAAGAGAAAUGUGAUGUUCAGUGAUCCAUUUUGCAGAUAACACUAACAAAGUUGACCUUAGAAUUGGAGUGCCUGGGUUAGAACCCUGCUGGUACCACCUGCUUACUGCAUGCUUCUGAUGUGAGUUCAGGAGAAGACACUGGCAAGGACAGCAAAGAACAGGAGAACACUCUAGCUUCCCUGAUAGCAUUCAAGGUGCUGUCCAAACUGACUGUGAUGGCACCCUCCAGACAGACAGCGAUGCCACAUGUUCAAGAUGGCAGAAUCACUAUCAGCUUCAAUUCCUGAAUGACUGCAGAGCAAAAUUUCUUACCUGCAACAUACACUCUAUUUUCAGCCUCCCUGGACUGUUACAUAAUGAUACAUAAAAA
rnacentral:lncRNA from 1 species